rnacentral:rRNA from 1 species
UACGGAGGGUGCGAGCGUUGUCCGGAAUCACUGGGCGUAAAGGGCGCGUAGGCGGCUCCGGCAGUCUGUGGUGAAAGCCCAAGGCUCAACUCUGGGUCGGCCACGGAUACUCCGGGGCUGGAGCACACUAGAGGCGGAUGGGAAUUCCGGGUGUAGCGGUGGAAUGCGUAGAGAUCCGGAAAGAACACCGGUGGCGAAGGGCGGUCCGC